GACGAACGCUGGCGGCGUGCCUAAUACAUGCAAGUCGAGCGGACUUGACAGAGCUUGCUCUGUUCAAGUUAGCGGCGGACGGGUGAGUAACACGUGGGCAACCUGCCCUGCAGAUUGGGAUAACUCCGGGAAACCGGGGCUAAUACCGAAUAACAUUGAAAACCUCAUGGUUUUCUUUUAAAAGGCGGCUUCGGCUGUCACUGCAGGAUGGGCCCGCGGCGCAUUAGCUAGGUGGUGAGGUAACGGCUCACCAAGGCGACGAUGCGUAGCCGGCCUGAGAGUGUGAGCGGCCACACUUGGACGGGGACCCGGCCCAGACUCCUACGGGAGGCAGCAGUAGGGAAUCUUCCGCAAUGGACGAAAGUCUGACGGAGCAACGCCGCGUGAGUGAAGAAGGUUUUCGGAUCGUAAAACUCUGUUGUUAGGGAAGAACAAGUACCGGAGUAACUGCCGGUACCUUGACGGUACCUGACCAGAAAGCCACGGCUAACUACGUGCCAGCCGCCGCGGUAACAC
rnacentral:rRNA from 1 species